rnacentral:rRNA from 1 species
UGCAUCUCCAAAAAGCGGAGGAAAAGAAACCAACAGGGAUUGCCUUAGUAGCGGCGAGUGAGCGGCAAAAGCUCAAAUUUGAAAUCUGGCGUAUUCUGCGUCCGAGUUGUAAUUUGAAGAAGGAUACUUUGGGGUUGGCUCUUGUCUAUGUUUCUUGGAACAGAACGUCACAGAGGGUGAGAAUCCCGUGCGAUGAGAAGCCCAAUUCCGUGUAAAGUGCCUUCGAAGAGUCGAGUUGUUUGGGAAUGCAGCUCUAAGUGGGUGGUAAAUUCCAUCUAAAGCUAAAUAUUGGCGAGAGACCGAUAGCGAACAAGUACAGUGAUGGAAAGAUGAAAAGAACUUUGAAAAGAGAGUGAAAAAGUACGUGAAAUUGUUGAAAGGGAAGGGCUUGAGAUCAGACUUGGUAUUUUGUAUGUCUUGCUUUCGGGUGGGGCCUCUGCAGUUUACUGGGCCAGCAUCGGUUCGGGUGGUAGGACAAUUGCGAAGGAACGUGGCACUGCUUCGGUGGUGUGUUAUAGCCUUUGUGGAUACUGCCUGUCUGGACCGAGGACUGCGUCAUUUGACUAGGAUGCUGGCAUAAUGAUCUUAAGUCGCCCGUCUUGAACCCACGGACACA